CAAGGACAGGUGGAGCGCUUAGAAGUGAGAAUGCCGGUGUGAGUAGCGAAAGACGGGUGAGAAUCCCGUCCACCGAUUGACUAAGGUUUCCAGAGGAAGGCUCGUCCGCUCUGGGUUAGUCGGGUCCUAAGCUGAGGCCGACAGGCGUAGGCGAUGGAUAACAGGUUGAUAUUCCUGUACCACCUAGUAUCGUUUUAAUCGAUGGGGGGACGCAGUAGGAUAGGCGAAGCGUGCUGUUGGAGUGCACGUCCAAGCAGUAAGGCUGAGUGUUAGGCAAAUCCGGCACUCAUAAGGCUGAGCUGUGAUGGGGAGAGGAAAUUGUUUCCUCGAGUCGUUGAUUUCACACUGCCGAGAAAAGCCUCUAGAUAGAUAACAGGUGCCCGUACCGCAAACCGACACAGGUAGGCAAGAUGAGAAUUCUAAGGUGAGCGAGCGAACUCUCGUUAAGGAACUCGGCAAAAUGACCCCGUAACUUCGGGAGAAGGGGUGCUCUUUAGGGUUCACGCCCAGAAGAGCCGCAGUGAAUAGGCCCAGGCGACUGUUUAGCAAAAACACAGGUCUCUGCGAAGCCGCAAGGCGAAGUAUAGGGGC
rnacentral:ncRNA from 1 species